AAGUAUAUGCAUAUUUUAUAUGUAGAAACUGCGAACGGCUCAUUAAAACAGUUAUAAUCUACUUGACAUUUUUUCUAUAAGGAUAACUACGGAAAAGCUGUAGCUAAUACUUGCUUUAGCACUCUUGAUUAAGUUCUUGAGUGUGUACUUGUUAAGCCUUUUAAGAAAAAAGUUAUUAACUUAAGGAAUUAUAACAAAGAAGUAACACGUAAAUGGAUUUUCCAUUUUUUAGUGUGUAUCAAUCGAGUUUCUGACCUAUCAGCUUUUGAUGUUAGGGUAUUGGCCUAACAUGGCUAUGACGGGUAACGGGGAAUUAGAGUUCGAUUCCGGAGAGGGAGCCUGAGAAAUAGCUACCACAUCUAAGGAAGGCAGCAGGCGCGUAAAUUACCCAAUUCUAAAGAAGAGAGGUAGUGACAAGAAAUAACAAUACAAGGCCAAUCUGGCUUUGUAAUUGGAAUGAUGGGAAUUUAAAACCUUCCCAAAACUCAAUUGGAGGGCAAGUCUGGUGCCAGCAGCCGCGGUAAUUCCAGCUCCAAUAGCGUAUAUUAAAAUUGUUGCAGUUAAAACGCUCGUAGUUGAAUUUCAAAGAAUCGAUAUUUUAAGUAACGCUUUGUAGAUUAAUCCACAUAACUGAUACUACGUAUCGACUUUGUGCGCAUUUUUCUACUUAUGUGUUCUUUUAAUUAAAAUGAUUCUUUUUAAGAUCUUUCUUUUUUGCUUCGGCAUUUUAGGAGAUCUUGUUACUUUGAGUAAAUUAGAGUGUUCAAAGCAAACAGAUUAUAGCAUCUUUAUGCGUUUGAAUACUACAGCAUGGAAUAACAAAAUUGAACAAGUCAGAAUUUUGUUCUUUUUUCUUAUUUUGGCUUAGUUACGAUUAAUAGGAGUAGCUUGGGGGCAUUUGUAUUCAGAUGUCAGAGGUGAAAUUCUUAGAUUUUCUGGAGACAAACAACUGCGAAAGCAUUUGCCUAAAAUACUUCCAUUAAUCAAGAACGAAAGUUAAGGGAGUGAAGACGAUCAGAUACCGUCGUAAUCUUAACCAUAAACUAUGCCGACUAGGCUUUGGAUGAAAGAUUUUAAAAUAAGAGUUUUUUCUCUGAGGAGUUAAAACUCUUAGAUUGCUUCCUUCAGUGCCUUAUGAGAAAUCAAAGUCUUUGGGUUCUGGGGCGAGUAUUCGCGCAAGCGAGAAAGUUAAAAGAAUUGACGGAAGGGCACCACCAGGCGUGGAGCUUGCGGCUUAAUUUGACUCAACACGGGAAAACUCACUAGUUUAAGACAAGAGUAGGAUUGACAGAUUAAUAGCUCUUUCUUGAUUUCUUGGAUGGUGAUGCAUGGCCGUUUUUAGUUCGUGAAUAUGAUUUGUCUGGUUAAUUCCGAUAACGAACGAGAUCUUAACCUGCUAAUUAGCGGCAAAUACGAUAUAUUCUUAUGUGGAAUUGAAUAUAGUUGAUUUGCUUAUUUUGAAGAAAAUAUUGGGAUACGUAAAUGUAUCCCUUUCCCUUUUCUACUUAAUUUGCUUAUCAUACUAUUUCUUUUUUGCGUAAGAAUGUAUUUGCUUGAUUGUAAAGCUUCUUAGAGGAACGAUGUGUGUCUAACACAAG
rnacentral:rRNA from 1 species